UAACACGUGGGCAACCUGCCCUGAAGCGGGGGAUAACAUCUGGAAACAGGUGCUAAUACCGCAUAACAACGAAAACCACAUGGUUUUCGUUUCAAAGAUGGUUUCGGCUAUCACUUCAGGAUGGGCCCGCGGUGCAUUAGCUAGUUGGUAAGGUAACGGCUUACCAAGGCGAUGAUGCAUAGCCGAGUCGAGAGACUGAUCGGCCACAAUGGAACUGAGACACGGUCCAUACUCCUACGGGAGGCAGCAGCA
rnacentral:rRNA from 1 species